UUGAGUAGUGAAGGCAGGAGAAAUGGAUUUCACUCAACCGGGAUUUCCCCAUGACAGUCAGGGACUUCAGACGAAAGGGCUUGUCUUUGCUCCACUCGACAUCCUCCUCCAGCAGGGUAAAGAUUCCCUCCUUCAUGGAAUUCAUCAGAUGUGGCUAGACCACUUGAUAUUUGGUUUGAGGAAACAACCAUUGGCACAAGGUUGAUGAACUUCCUGGAAACCCAGACGAAGUGAGUCGAAGUUUGUGGAAGUUCCUUCCUGCCAGCCCUUGGGGCAGCUGGGCACAGCCUGGGGGAUACCUUCCUGGCUGAUGACGCAAGAACCAGGAGCACAGCUCUCAAGGCCUUGGCUUUAUAUAAUCUCUUCCAGACGUAGAUACAACUAAUGAAAAGGAUGGAAUUCCCAAUUAAUAACAACUGAAAUUUUACCAUCUUAGCAAAAUGGGAGCUCAAAAUGUGAAGCUUAAUUUAGGUCCCCUUGAAUGUGGGCCAGACUUGGUGAUUCACCUCCAAAGAACAGACUAAGGUGGAAAUGGCAGUGUGUGACUUCUGAGACUAUGUCAUACAAGACACUGUGGCUUCACCCCUCUCAGAUUACUUUCUGUGCAGGACAUCAGCUACCAAGUUGCAAGGACACACAAUCAGUCCUGGAGAGGAAGUGAAUCUCUCAUCAAAAUCCAGCGCCAACGCUCCUGUCAAGUGAGGGAGCCAUCUGGGAUGUGGAUCCUUCAGCUCUAGUGAAGCCCUCAGAUAACUGCAGCCCCCAUAUAACUUAACCACAGCCUAAUGAAAAAAGCUUGAGCUGAACCAUCCUGUUGAAGUUUCCUCAAAUUCCUGACCCACCAAAGCCAUGUGAGAUAAUAAAUGUUUACUGUAGGUUUAGCCAGCUAACUUUUUAGGUAUUUUGCUGUGUAGCAAUAGAUACCUAAUAUGCUUCUUAGUUUUAUUGUUAUAAAUAUUGCUGAAAUCUGUGUGUGUGUUUGUGUGUAUUUACAUAUUGGCACUCUCGUAUGAAUAUAUUUGUGGGAUAAAUUUCUGGAUAUAGAAUUAUUUCAUCAAGCGGUUUAUAUCCUAGACAUUUUGAUAUACUUUGACACAUUUUCUCCCCCAAAGUGAAUAAAUUUAUGCCUCCUUUUGUGCACAACAUUGCUAACACCUGGGAAUUAAGUAUUUUUAAUUUUUGCCCAAUUGAUAGAUAUUUGUUUUAAUUUUCAUCUCUCUAAUUGGCAAGUUGAAUAUUUAUAUAAUUAUUUGCUCAUUUGUAGAUCAUAUGUUUUG